rnacentral:rRNA from 1 species
UACGUAGGGGGCAAGCGUUGUCCGGAAUUAUUGGGCGUAAAGAGCUCGUAGGCGGUUCGAUAAGUCUGCUGUGAAAGUCCAGGGCUCAACCCUGGGAUGCCGGUGGAUACUGUCGGACUAGAGUACGGAAGAGGCGAGUGGAAUUCCCGGCGUAGCGGUGAAAUGCGCAGAUAUCGGGAGGAACACCAAUUGCGAAGGCAGCUCGCUGGGACGUCACUGACGCUGAGGAGCGAAAGCGUGGGGAGCGAACAGG